rnacentral:lncRNA from 1 species
CAGAGGGAAGAUCUAGAGGUGAGCUGGGCCUUCCUCACUGUCCAGCUCGCCCCUCCCGUGUCUCUGUACCAUGUGGCGCUCACCCAGGGUUCAGAGUCCCGUACUCUCUACCCCCAGCGUGGUCUGCUCUGAGGGAGAGUCUGGUGGGCUAGUUUCCCCUAAGGUGGGAAUGACUGGUAGGGCUGGUGCUACCCGUUCUGAGGGCCUUUCAACUUGGGCAGCGACAGAGUUUUUAUCCAGAGAAAUUAAACUCUAUUUAUGGAAUCCCAGCAGGAGGCUCUGAAGGUGGAAGGAUGUUGCCUCCACUGAAAUCGCAGUGGCCUCCGUCCCCAGGCCUGGCUCUGCGAGAUGGGGCUGCUGGGAAAACUGGUUCAAAAGUCCACGGCACACAGCAACCAAAGAAAAAUACAUAAAUUGGAUUUCAUCAAAAUUAAAAAUGUUUCUGCUUCAAAAGUCGUCAUCAAGAAAAUGCAGAGUCAAUGCAGAGAAGGAGAGAAACAUUUGCACAUCAUAUAUGUGAUAAGGGGCUUGUAUCCAGACUAUAUAAAGAACUCCUACAACUCGACAACAAAAAGACAAAUGACUCAAUUAAAAGUGAGCAAAAGACUUGAAUACAGAUGUCUCCCGACAAGAUAUGCAAAUGGCCAAGAAGCACAUGACAGGGUGCCGCACACCAUCAGUCAUCAGGGAAAUGCAAAUCAAAACCCCGACGAGAGACCACCUUAUCCCCACUAGGAUGCUGUUAUCAAAAAGACAGACAAUAACAAGGGCUGGUGAGGAUGCGGAGAAAGUGGAACCCUCACACACUGCUGGUGGGAUGUUAAAAUAGUGUAGUCACUUUGGAAAAACAGUUUGGCAGUUCCUCAGAAAGGAAUCUGGCCUCUCUUAGCACCAUGACAGCCAAGAGGCACGAUCCACCACGACAGCCAAGAGGCAUGAUCCACUUCGUCGCUAUUUUCAUAUUUUUCAAAACAC